AAGUCGAGCGAACGGACGAGAAGCUUGCUUCUCUGAUGUUAGCGGCGGACGGGUAAGUAACACGUGGAUAACCUACCUAUAAGACUGGGAUAACUUCGGGAAACCGGAGCUAAUACCGGAUAAUAUUUUGAACCGCAUGGUUCAAAAGUGAAAGACGGUCUUGCUGUAACUUAUAGAUGGAUCCGCGCUGCAUUAGCUAGUUGGUAAGGUAACGGCUUACCAAGGCAACGAUGCAUAGCCGACCUGAGAGGGUGAUCGGCCACACUGGAACUGAGACACGGUCCAGACUCCUACGGGAGGCAGCAGUAGGGAAUCUUCCGCAAUGGGCGAAAGCCUGACGGAGCAACGCCGCGUGAGUGAUGAAGGUCUUCGGAUCGUAAAACUCUGUUAUUAGGGAAGAACAUAUGUGUAAGUAACUGUGCACAUCUUGACGGUACCUAAUCAGAAAGCCACGGCUAACUACGUGCCAGCAGCCGCGGUAAUACGUAGGUGGCAAGCGUUAUCCGGAAUUAUUGGGCGUAAAGCGCGCGUAGGCGGUUUUUUAAGUCUGAUGUGAAAGCCCACGGCUCAACCGUGGAGGGUCAUUGGAAACUGGAAAACUUGAGUGCAGAAGAGGAAAGUGGAAUUCCAUGUGUAGCGGUGAAAUGCGCAGAGAUAUGGAGGUACACCAGUGGCGAAGGCGACUUUCUGGUCUGUAACUGACGCUGAUGUGCG
rnacentral:rRNA from 1 species